rnacentral:rRNA from 1 species
ACAUGCAGAGAACUUUCCAGAGAUGGAUUGGUGCCUUCGGGAACUCUGACACAGGUGCUGCGUGGCUGUCGUCAGCUCGUGUCGUGAGAUGUUGGGUUAAGUCCGUAACGAGCGCAACCCUUGUCCUUAGUUACCAGCACGUUAUGGUGGGCACUCUAAGGAGACUGCCGGUGACAAACCGGAGGAAGGUGGGGAUGACGUCAAGUCAUCAUGGCCCUUACGGCCUGGGCUACACACGUGCUACAAUGGUCGGUACAAAGGGUUGCCAAGCCGCGAGGUGGAGCUAAUCCCAUAAAACCGAUCGUAGUCCGGAUCGCAGUCUGCAACUCGACUGCGUGAAGUCGGAAUCGCUAGUAAUCGUGAAUCAGAAUGUCACGGUGAAUACGUUCCCGGGCCUU